rnacentral:rRNA from 1 species
GACGAACGCUGGCGGCGUGCUUAACACAUGCAAGUCGAACGGAAAGGCCCUGCUUUUGUGGGGUGCUCGAAUGGCGAACGGGUGAGUAACACGUGAGUAACCUGCCCUUGACUUUGGGAUAACUUCAGUAAACUGGGGCUAAUACCGGAUAGGAGCUCCUGCUGCAUGGUGGGGGUUGGAAAGUUUCGGCGGUUGGGAUUGAAUCGCGGCUUAGCAGGUUUUUGGUGGGGUAGUGGCUUACCAAGGCGUUUGCGGGUAGCCGGACUGAGAGGGUGACCGGCAAGAGUGGGACAGAGAUACCACCCAGACACAUACGGGAGGCAGCAGAGGGGAAGAUUGCACAAUGGGCGGAAGCCUGAUGCAGGAACGCCGGGUGCGGAAUGACGGCCUUCGGGUUGUAAACGGCUUUCGCCUGUGACGAAGCGUGAGUGACGGUAAUGGGCAGAGAAGCACCGGCUAACUACGU